GGCUUUGGAGGGAAAAAACAAGAGAAAGAGAGCUUCAAUCCAUCUUGGGUUUUGCUUGAUUGAGUACAAACAAGAAAAACUAAACCGAUUAAUCACUAGUUUGGAAGCUUGGGAAGUCUAAGGAACCAAAAAUUUCAAGGAAAACUAGAGGAUCACUCUUGGCUCUUGUCUUGAGGUAUAAUGGCUAAUCACCCUUUCUUUCUCCAUUACUCAUGAUUAAGUUGGGUAUUAAGUUUAGAAUUGUGCUUGUGAUGCCUAUUUCAAGUGGUUUUGAUGAUUGGAGUGAUGAAUUUUAAGAUAGGGUUUUGAUUGAUUUACUUAUAAUUCUUGUUGGUUAGGUGUUAUAUGGUGUAUAUAUAUGGUAUAUAAUCUUGUAAAGGAGAUAGUAGUGGUAGUUUCAAGAUAAAAACAAGAUAAAAAUGAGAAGUAUAGCUUGAAUAUAGCAAAAUUCCAGAUUUCUGGAAAUCUUAGCUUCAGUUCUGUCUGGUUCUAUUUCAUCAUGUUAGAGGCCGAACUAGGCUUAACACAAAACAUGAAAGUUGUAUAGAAUGACAUUUUAUGGUUUCUUACAAAAUUUCAACUCAAUCGGAGCAAUGUAUCCUGUGAAAAGAUAAAAAUACCCUGACUGCCCUAGGAGUAAGGUCAGUGGACAGUUUUGACAGUACACUAAGUUGGUUGCAUUUAUUCACCUUGAUACGUACUGAGCUAGCUUUUAGUCAAAACAUGAAAGUUUUAUUACUUUGUCUUAGCUUUUCAACGCCUCCAAGAACGCCUUAAACGGACUUUGGUAGCUUGAGAUAUGGCCAUUUGGAGGUAGUACGGUUAACUGGCCGGUUAGUUGAAAUUUGGUUCUGUGAAUUGGGAAUUUGACUGGGUUACACUAGAAAUUAGACUAGGUGGUCUACACCAAAGUUGUAGCUCUCUACCUUGGCUUCGAAACGGUAUAAUUUUCAUCUCAAUCCGAUAAGCGUAGCCUCGGUUGUGUCCGUUACGCAAAAAUACGUCAAAUCUGUCUUUUGUUAAACUUCAUUUCCGCACAUGUCGUUAGCUUGAUUUUUGUACUUGCAUUACCUUGAGCCUAUUGAACGGCUAUUGAAAUGAGUUUGUGUUGUGUAUAACUUUGGGUUGAUUGAGGAAAAUAAUGAAGCCGUAAAUGGCUGGAAAAUUAGGUAAAUCCAAAGGGCGUGCUACCCAAAUUUACGCUCCAGGACUAGAGAAAUAUACUUGCGACUUGAGUAAGGGUUAAGAGUGAUUACUACUUGAACCAUCUAGGAUAUUUGCGUCUUCUUUUACCAAGGUAUAUAAGUAAGGACUUGGCCGAACUUGUACCCUUGAGAAAUAAAAUAAUGACUGCUCGGAGUACGUUUUCCUUGUACUUUCGACUCAAAUGGCAUUUCCAAGUAUAAAUGUUACAAAGUUAUAUAGUUUGAAACGCGAGCGAGUGUUUCACGAAUAUUCUCCAAGUGACUUUCCAUUUCUUGAUUCUUAUUGAACGAAACAUCUACGUUUCGAACCUUAGUCGAUUUUUAAAGUUCUGAAACAAAGUUUUAUCGCAGAUUUGGACUCCGAACCCGGAGUAUAACCCAGAUGUGAUUACUAGGGGCACUUCAUUUUGGUGAGUGCUUCCAAAUACCUAAUUGAACUGAACACUUGUUUCCAAUACUUGAUCAAUAUGAUUAAAUGAUAUAAGAUUGGUUUGAUCGGGCAAGAGUGUACUUUAUCGCACUUGCCCUUAUUUGAUAUAUACUUGUUUAUUGUUG
rnacentral:lncRNA from 1 species